rnacentral:rRNA from 1 species
ACGCUGGCGGCGUGCCUAAUACAUGCAAGUAGAACGCUGAAGAGAGGAGCUUGCUCUUCUUGGAUGAGUUGCGAACGGGUGAGUAACGCGUAGGUAACCUGCCUUGUAGCGGGGGAUAACUAUUGGAAACGAUAGCUAAUACCGCAUAACAAUGGGUGACACAUGUCAUUUAUUUGAAAGGGGCAAUUGCUCCACUACAAGAUGGACCUGCGUUGUAUUAGCUAGUAGGUGAGGUAACGGCUCACCUAGGCGACGAUACAUAGCCGACCUGAGAGGGUGAUCGGCCACACUGGGACUGAGACACGGCCCAGACUCCUACGGGAGGCAGCAGUAGGGAAUCUUCGGCAAUGGGGGCAACCCUGACCGAGCAACGCCGCGUGAGUGAAGAAGGUUUUCGGAUCGUAAAGCUCUGUUGUAAGUCAAGAACGAGUGUGAGAGUGGAAAGUUCACACUGUGACGGUAGCUUACCAGAAAGGGACGGCUAACUUCGUGCCAGCAGCCGCGGUAAUACGUAGGUCCCGAGCGUUGUCCGGAUUUAUUGGGCGUAAAGCGAGCGCAGGCGGUUUGAUAAGUCUGAAGUUAAAGGCUGUGGCUCAACCAUAGUUCGCUUUGGAAACUGUCAAACUUGAGUGCAGAAGGGGAGAGUGGAAUUCCAUGUGUAGCGGUGAAAUGCGUAGAUAUAUGGAGGAACACCGGUGGCGAAAGCGGCUCUCUGGUCUGUAACUGACGCUGAGGCUCGAAAGCGUGGGGAGCGAACAGGAUUAGAUACCCUGGUAGUCCACGCCGUAAACGAUGAGUGCUAGGUGUUGGAUCCUUUCCGGGAUUCAGUGCCGCAGCUAACGCAUUAAGCACUCCGCCUGGGGAGUACGACCGCAAGGUUGAAACUCAAAGGAAUUGACGGGGGCCCGCAC